CCUGGAGGUAACAGUCUCAGGCCUUGAAGCGGGCAGUCUCACAGCAGGCUUACACCCAGCACUUCAGAGUUACAGCAGCUCAGAGAGUUCAGUUUCUGCUGACAUCACAGCUGGGAAUGAGAAAGGCAGAGGACUCUGGUUGGUCUCACUCUGCCUCUCGACCGCAUGUACAGGACUUGAGGCUGCCACGGGAGUAGCUCUGAAAGCUGAGUCAUCGGGGUCCUUGUGAAGGAGGGAAGCUCACCUGCCUUGGAGCCAGGAAAAUCCUGCCUGGGAUAGAACUCUCAUGGUUUAAAAAUGAGAAGGGAGAGAACUGCCAUCACAUUAGAAUGCACAGAAAAUCCUUAAAACAAAAAAGUAAUGAGAGAAACAAUCUCCACUGGAAUAUAAAAUGAACUAUAAAACUACAGUGCUGAAGAGAGGACAAUACUGGCACUAAACUGAAAAGAUUCAUGGAACACAGUGGAAAGUCCAGAAAGAGAAUCACAUACACAUGGAGGCAACCACUCAAGGCCACUCUGAGAAGGGUUGAAGCUGCUUUAUUAAAAGGACUGAGGAUCAGUACGUUGGUGGGUGUUGGACUGUGCUCUAAGAGCUGUGCAGGGGCUUGGAUCAGUGCCUGAAUCCAGUGUUCCUGAGUGCAGAGCAUCUUUGCUCUGGGUGAGCUUUGACCAUCCUGGAGAAGAAGGCUGCUGCAGGGGUGGGACAAAGGCAAGACCAAUGGCCAUCGGCCAAGGCCAGCCAGAUGGCUCUGUGCUGGCAGCCAGCAUACACGGAUUUUACCUGAAGGAAAAUGUCACGUUUUCCACAGACAACUGAAGAAAAGGAGCUCUUCGGAUUACCCUAAUCGUGAUUUACUCGCUGGAACCUCUGUCUGUGGAUUGUACAAAAUUAAGUCUCAAAGCUAAAAUAUGAGGCUUCAAUGAGUUAUCCUGAAAUCAGUGCUUGAUAUCUUCUUGCUUUUUGCUUGUUUUUUUAAAAUGUUAAUUAUCAUAUUUUUCUGUCGUAUUUCUCAGUGCCGUGUACAUUAUCACCAUUAUCCAUGCCAGUUAUGUAUAGUUUUGCAUGUUUGUUUUUUAUUUUACUCUUUUCUCUUCUCCAUUCCCUACUCCUGUUCCCCCAUCGGUGCCCAAUCUAAUGCAUUUGGUAUCUGUCCUUAGAUCCUCCAUAUCUGUGAGGACUAGAGUCAGGCACUUCCUCACAUUUCAGUAACGAUGGACCACAUGUGCCACAGUCCCGUCAGAUGACAGUGGUCCAGAAACAUUCCUGUCACCUAGUGACAUUGUAGCCAUCAUAAUGUCCCAACACAUGACUCACACUUGUGGUGACCCUGGUGUAAACAAAGCUACUGUACUGCCAGUUGCAUAGAAAUCUAGCACAUCCAGUUAUGCACAGUAUAUAAUACUUGAAAUUGAUAAUAAAUGACCAUGUUACUGGUUUACUGGUUUAUGUAAUUACUACAUUAUACUUUUUAUCAUUAUUUUAGAGUGUACAACGUCUACUUG